UUUGAACAUGGAAGGGCACCCUCAGGGUCAGGAUUGGAGCAGGUUGGCUGUUGGAAGCAGUGGGAAAGGAUGUUUUCAGCCUGCCUUGAGCCAGAGCUGCAAGGAUAACAUCCAGGCCUGAUUCUAGCUACAUUGAAGACUGGUUGUUUUCUAAAACUAGAGAAGUCCAUGAAGUGAUGGUGACUUUUUUUUGAAGUUCGAGUACUAGAAUAAAAGAGAGAGUUUGAGUACAUAACCUUGAAGACUCAGAGAGCUGAGAUAGGAAGAUUUUGAAGUUGUCCUACAUUUAAAGCCAUGAUUUAAAUAUUGGCAUUGCGGGAGGUCGUAGCAGAUGAAAUCUUCUCAGAAGCUUCCUCUGACCUUCUGCCUCUGGGCUCCAGUCUUCUUGCCACCCCAAGACCUAGCCCAGUGCCUGCUGCCCAGCGGGUGUCCCACAAAUCCUCGACCACCUCCCAACGCUCCCAGGAAGUGUUUUCCCUGCUCUCAGUGGAGGAAGAAUUUGGAAAUUGAAGGUGUUUGACUCUGAAAAGUACUUGGGAGCAGCCCUGAUCUUAAUAACCGGCUGUGUGAUCUUGCGUAAGUUCUUUAUUAUUAUUAUU